GAUGAACGCUGACAGAAUGCUUAACACAUGCAAGUCUUUGGCGAAUCUGUGCUUGCACAGGCUAGCCAAGGCGGACGGGUGAGUAACGCGUAAAGAACUUGCCCUGCAGACAGGGAUAACAGACGGAAACGACUGAUAACACCUGAUACAGUUGCCGGCACGCAUGUGCCUGGCUAUGAAAAGAGAUGCUGCAGGAGAGCUUUGCGUCCUAUUAGCUUGUUGGUGAGGUGACGGCUCACCAAGGCGAUGAUAGGUAGCCGGCCUGAGAGGGUGAACGGCCACAAGGGGACUGAGAUACGGCCCUUACUCCUACGGGAGGCAGCAGUGGGGAAUAUUGGACAAUGGGGGCAACCCUGAUCCAGCAAUUCUGUGUGCACGAAGAAGGUUUUCGGAUUGUAAAGUGCUUUCAGCAGGGAAGAAGAAAGUGACGGUACCUGCAGAAGAAGCGACGGCUAAAUACGUG
rnacentral:rRNA from 1 species